rfam:Cephalotus follicularis DNA, scaffold: scaffold792, isolate: St1.
ACGGCAUGAUGGAGACAUUUUUGAAUGAGAUCCUUUAAUCGUUCCCAUGACUCAUGGAAUCGCUCACCAUCUUGUUGCGAAAAUCUAGUGAGAGCUCGUCUUAUCUGGUCAC